rnacentral:rRNA from 1 species
AAAUAAUGCUGGGGUACGGUGCGGAGCGAAAUUUAGUAGCGAAGUAGCUGAUUUCACACUGUCGAGAAAAGUCUCUAUCGAGGUUAAAGGUGCCUGUACCGCAAACCGACACAGGUGGGUGAGGAGAGUAUCCUAAGGCCAGCGAGAGAACUGUUGUUAAGGAACUCGGCAAAAUGACCCCGUAACUUAGGGAGAAGGGGUGCCUUCGAAAGAAGGCCGCAGAGAAUAGGCCCAAGCGACUGUUUACCAAAAACAUAGGUUUCUGCUAAGUCGCAAGACGAUGUAUAGGAGCUGACGCCUGCCCGGUGCUGGAAGGUUAAGGGGAUCUGUUAGAGCAAUCGAAGCAGUGAACUUAAGCCCCAGUAAACGGCGGCCGUAACAAUAACGGUCCUAAGGUAGCGAAAUUCCUUGUCGGGUAAGUUCCGACCCGCACGAAAGGCGUAACGAUUUGGGCACUGUCUCAACAACAGACUCGGUGAAAUUGUAAUACCGGUGAAGAUGCCGGUUACCUGCGACAGGACGGAAAGACCCCAUGGAGCUUUACUGUAGCUUGACAUUGAGUCUCGGUGCUACAUGUACAGGAUAGGUGGGAGACUAUGAAGCAUGGACGUCAGUCUGUGUGGAGUCAUCCUUGGGAUACCACCCUUGUAGUACUGGGAUUCUAACCAGAGGCCAUGAAUCUGGUCUUGGGACACUGUCAGGUGGACAGUUUGACUGGGGCGGUCGCCUCCAAAAAAGUAACGGAGGCGCUCAAAGGUUCUCUCAGUACGGUCGGAAAUCGUACGAAGAGUGUAAAGGCAAAAGAGAGCUUGAUUGCAAGACAUACAGGUCGAGCAAGGACGAAAGUCGGACUUAGUGAUCCGGUGGUUCCGCAUGGAAGGGCCAUCGCUCAACGGAUAAAAGCUACCCUGGGGAUAACAGGCUGAUCUCCCCCAAGAGUCCACAUCGACGGGGAGGUUUGGCACCUCGAUGUCGGCUCAUCACAUCCUGGGGCUGUAGUAGGUCCCAAGGGUUGGGCUGUUCGCCCAUUAAAGUGGUACGCGAGCUGGGUUCAGAACGUCGUGAGACAGUUCGGUCCCUAUCCGUCGCAGGCGUAGGAAAUUUGAGGAGACCUGUCCUUAGUACGAGAGGACCGGGAUGGACGUACCGCUGGUGUACCAGUUGUUCUGCCAAGGGCAUGGCUGGGUAGCUAAGUACGGAAAGGAUAAGCGCUGAAAGCAUCUAAGCGCGAAGCCCACUUCAAGAUAAGAUUUCCCACCGCAAGGUUAAGAUCCCAGGAAGACUACCUGGUUGAUAGGUCAGAGGUGUAAGUGCAGUAAUGUAUUUAGCUUACUGAUACUAAUAGAUCGAGGACUUGAUCA